UACGUAGGGGGCAAGCGUUAUCCAGAUUUACUGGGCGUAAAGCGCGUGUAGGCGGCUGGUUUGGUGUGAUGUGAAAUCUUCCGGCUCAACCGGAAAACUGCAUUGCAAACCGGCCUGGCUUGAGUUUGGGAGAGGGAUGCGGAAUUCCUGGUGUAGCGGUGAAAUGCGUAGAUAUCAGGAGGAACACCGGUGGCGAAGGCGGCUAUCUGGACAGAAACUGACGCUGAGGCGCGAAAGCUAGGGGAGCAAACAGG
rnacentral:rRNA from 1 species